rnacentral:rRNA from 1 species
UACGUAGGGGGCAAGCGUUGUUCGGAAUUACUGGGCGUAAAGGGCGCGUAGGCGGCAUGGCAAGUCAGGAGUGAAAGGCCUGGGCUCAACCGAGGAACUGCUUUUGAUACUGCCAAGCUAGAGUGCGGAAGGGGCAACUGGAAUUCCCAGUGUAGCGGUGAAAUGCGUAGAUAUUGGGAAGAACACCUGAGGCGAAGGCGGGUUGCUGGGCCGACACUGACGCUGAGGAGCGAAAGCGUGGGGAGCGAACAGG